AUUGAUUUUAUGCUUGCAUAAAUGAUUUUUGGAUUCGGAGCGAGUGGCGAACUGGUGAGUAACACGUGGGUAACCUGCCCCGAAGCGGGGGAUAACAUUUGGAAACAAGUGCUAAUACCGCAUAAUUAGUUGGAACCGCAUGGUUCCAACUUGAAAGAUGGCUCUGCUAUCACUUUGGGAUGGACCCGCGCCGUAUUAGUUAGUUGGUGAGAUAAAAGCCCACCAAGACGAUGAUACGUAGCCGACCUGAGAGGGUAAUCGGCCACAUUGGGACUGAGACACGGCCCAGACUCCUACGGGAGGCAGCAGUAGGGAAUCUUCCACAAUGGACGAAAGUCUGAUGGAGCAACGCCGCGUGAGUGAUGAAGGUUUUCGGAUCGUAAAACUCUGUUGUUAAAGAAGAACAAGUGUUAGAGUAACUGUUAACACUUUGACGGUAUUUAACCAGAAAGCCACGGCUAACUACGUGCCAGCAGCCGCGGUAAUACGUAGGUGGCAAGCGUUGUCCGGAUUUAUUGGGCGUAAAGCGAGCGCAGGCGGUUUUGUAAGUCUGCUGUGAAAGCCCUCAGCUCAACUGAGGAAGUGCAGUGGAAACUACAAAGCUUGAGUACAGAAGAGGAAAGUGGAACUCCAUGUGUAGCGGUGAAAUGCGUAGAUAUAUGGAAGAACACCAGUGGCGAAGGCGGCUUUCUGGUCUGUUACUGACGCUGAGGCUCGAAAGCAUGGGUAGCGAACAGGAUUAGAUACCCUGGUAGUCCAUGCCGUAAACGAUGAAUACUAGGUGUUGGAGGGUUUCCGCCCUUCAGUGCCGCAGCUAACGCAUUAAGUAUUCCGCCUGGGGAGUACGACCGCAAGGUUGAAACUCAAAGGAAUUGACGGGGGCCCGCACAAGUGGUGGAGCAUGUGGUUUAAUUCGAUGCUACGCGAAGAACCUUACCAGCUCUUGACAUCUUCUGCCAACCCAAGAGAUUGGGCGUUCCCUUCGGGGACAGAAUGACAGGUGGUGCAUGGUUGUCGUCAGCUCGUGUCGUGAGAUGUUGGGUUAAGUCCCGCAACGAGCGCAACCCUUAUUAUUAGUUGCCAGCAUUUAGUUGGGCACUCUAGUGAGACUGCCGGUGAUAAA
rnacentral:rRNA from 1 species